GAUGAACGCUGGCGGCGUGCCUAAUACAUGCAAGUCGAGCGAAUGGAUUGAGGGCUUGCUCUUAUGAAGUUAGCGGCGGACGGGUGAGUAACACGUGGGUAACCUGCCCAUAAGACUGGGAUAACUCCGGGAAACCGGGGCUAAUACCGGAUAACAUUUUGAACCGCAUGGUUCGAAAUUGAAAGGCGGCUUCGGCUGUCACUUAUGGAUGGACCCGCGUCGCAUUAGCUAGAUGGUGAGGUAACGGCUCACCAAGGCAACGAUGCGUAGCCGACCUGAGAGGGUGAUCGGCCACACUGGGACUGAGACACGGCCCAGACUCCUACGGGAGGCAGCAGUAGGGAAUCUUCCGCAAUGGACGAAAGUCUGACGGAGCAACGCCGCGUGAGUGAUGAAGGCUUUCGGGUCGUAAAACUCUGUUGUUAGGGAAGAACAAGUGCUAGUUGAAUAAGCUGGCACCUUGACGGUACCUGAAGAAUAAGCACCGGCUAACUACGUGCCAGCCGCCGCAGUAA
rnacentral:rRNA from 1 species